UAUUUUCUUUUUGUAUAUACGUCUCUCUCUCUCUCUCUCUCUCUCUCUCUCUUCUCCUUCUCUCUCCUUUCUCUCCAUCGACAUCUCACACAAACACACGAGCACCACCAGCCACUGCCCCUCCGAUGAUGUUAGUUACACGAGCACCAAUCGAUUGAUUCCGAGCUUGGCAUUUGAUUCCAAUUCUGAGCCUUGGAUUAAUUUGUUUCAUUUCAACUUUAUGAUCUCAAACAGCAAGGGUUCAUAGAGAGACAGGAGCUUAUGAGGUUUUAAUAUGUCAAAAUGAGGCUGAAAAAUGCUUAAUUGAAACGUCUAUAAAUUCAUUGCGCAUAAGCCUCAAGAAGCAUUUCAAGUAUUGAGGAGAAAGCCAGUACAGGUAUGUAUUGUCUCAUCUCAUUUAAUUGUUUUUGCACAUUGCUAUGCAAAAUUCAUGAUGCUUGACAGAAAACACAGUGCUGAUUGAUUGGCAAUAAUUUGCUUCAAGAUGAAAUUUUACUUAGUGCUGUUUUGGGAACAUUAGUAAAAAGCAGCGUUUUCAUGCA